rnacentral:rRNA from 1 species
UACGGAGGGGGCUAGCGUUGUUCGGAAUUACUGGGCGUAAAGCGCGCGUAGGCGGCUUUGUAAGUUAGAGGUGAAAGCCCGAAGCUCAACUUCGGAAUUGCCUUUAAGACUGCAUCGCUAGAAUUGUGGAGAGGUAAGUGGAAUUCCGAGUGUAGAGGUGAAAUUCGUAGAGAUCGGCAGGAACACCCAGGGGGAAACCAGUCGACUGGGCAUCUACUGACGCUGAGGUGCGAGAGCGUGGGGAGCGAACCGG